GGCAGCGAGACGCAAGUCAGCCACGCUUUGCAAAGCAGCCAGGCUUUGCAAAACAGUGACGUAGCUUGGCUCUUCCACUUUUAGCAUAGGGAAACUUUUUUUGAAGGUAGUAUCGCGUCAUUUUACGUCAAACCAUAACAAUCUGCGUCAAUGUAGGUAAAUUUGCGUCAAUAUACAUAAAUUGCCGUGAAAUAAACGUCAACACUAAAAAAAAAAAUCUGAGUGUUUGAGGCGUAUACGAUACGGACGUACAUUUAAACUAGGUCGUUGGAUUUUAUAUGGCAGCCCAUUCCAGCAGUCCAUAACAAGCUUGUUUUUGCUGUACCUACACUGUACAUUUCCAUCCUGAAUUAAUUCUGUAAUCAGAUUUUAAAUCAGUAAGCUUCUGUGUUAACAUUUUUCACAGGUGCCUUUUUAUCAGGCAUUUAAACAAAGAGACAUGUACAAAUAGGCUAGAAUAGCAAUUUUUGGACCAGUUCUCUAAAUUUCAUCUGAUAUUGAGUGCACAAAGUUACCGAUACAAGUUUUAUACAUAUUUUACUGUAUGUACAAUAUAAACAAUAAACUAUCCUAUUGUGGGAGGCACAUUUAUAAACCAAAAAAGUGGUAAAAUAUUUUGAUAACAUUAUUAUACAGUGAAAGCAUUUCAUUUGUAUCAUGUUUUUGCACAGUACAUAAGUCAGAUAGUUUUUUUGCAGAACGUAGUAUCUGAUCAGUACAAGUAAAAAAGUAAUCAAUAAAAGUAAACAAUCGGUAAGUCUUAAUAUCUAAUACCUUAGUAUCCAAAUGAAAAGUCAAUAAAUAAUAAGCUUGACUUUUGUUUACUGGUCUAGGCAUCAAUACAAAUUUGUUUCUUGAAAAAUGAUACAUUGUCUUUAAAAAGUAGUCGAAAGUUUUAUAUGUUCCCAAUAUUGUUUUUUGAUUGAAGUGCAAUGUUAAUGCCCAAUAUUAUUAUUUUUUAAAUAUUGGAAUUUGACACAAAUGCCACAAUAACAAAACCUGGUUUACAAUUUAAUUUAGCAGAACUCAGAACAUUUUCUUACACCUUUAUUAGGCUGC